GACGAACCGUGCGAACGUUGUUCGGAAUCACUGGGCUUAAAGGGCGCGUAGGCGGGCUGCCAAGUCUGGGGUGAAAUCCUUCGGCUCAACCGGAGAACGGCCUCGGGUACUGGCGGUCUUGAGGGAGGUAGGGGCGUGCGGAACUAAGGGUGGAGCGGUGAAAUGCGUUGAUAUCCUUAGGAACUCCGGUGGCGAAGGCGGCACGCUGGACCUUUUUCUGACGCUGAGGCGCGAAAGCCAGGGGAGC
rnacentral:rRNA from 1 species